GCAAACUUGGUCAUUUAGAGGAAGUAAAAGUCGUAACAAGGUUUCCGUAGGUGAACCUGCGGAAGGAUCAUUAUCGUGGGGCUCCGGCCCCGUCGAGAUAGAACCCUUGCCUUUUUUGAUACCCACCCGUUUCCUCGGCAGGCUCGCCUGCCAGCGGACAACACACAAAACUCUUUUUUUGCACCUGUAUCAGUCUGAAAAACAAACAAAAGUUAAAACUUUCAACAACGGAUCUCUUGGUUCUGGCAUCGAUGAAGAACGCAGC
rnacentral:misc_RNA from 1 species